rnacentral:rRNA from 1 species
GACGAACGCUGGCGGCGUGCCUAAUACAUGCAAGUAGAACGCUGAAGAGAGGAGCUUGCUCUUCUUGGAUGAGUUGCGAACGGGUGAGUAACGCGUAGGUAACCUGCCUUGUAGCGGGGGAUAACUAUUGGAAACGAUAGCUAAUACCGCAUAGCAAUAGGUGACACAUGUCAUUUAUUUGAAAGGGGCAAUUGCUCCACUACAAGAUGGACCUGCGUUGUAUUAGCUAGUAGGUGAGGUAACGGCUCACCUAGGCGACGAUACAUAGCCGACCUGAGAGGGUGAUCGGCCACACUGGGACUGAGACACGGCCCAGACUCCUACGGGAGGCAGCAGUAGGGAAUCUUCGGCAAUGGGGGCAACCCUGACCGAGCAACGCCGCGUGAGUGAAGAAGGUUUUCGGAUCGUAAAGCUCUGUUGUAAGUCAAGAACGAGUGUGAGAGUGGAAAGUUCACACUGUGACGGUAGCUUACCAGAAAGGGACGGCUAACUACGUG